rnacentral:rRNA from 1 species
GAUGAACGCUGGCGGCGUGCCUAAUACAUGCAAGUCGAGCGAACAGACGAGGAGCUUGCUUCUCUGACGUUAGCGGCGGACGGGUGAGUAACACGUGGAUAACCUACCUAUAAGACUGGGAUAACUUCGGGAAACCGGAGCUAAUACCGGAUAAUAUAUUGAACCGCAUGGUUCAAUAGUGAAAGACCGAUUUGCUGUCCCUUAUAGAUGGAUCCUCGCCGCAUUAGCUAGUUGGUAAGGUAACGGCUUACCAAGGCAACGAUGCGUAGCCGACCUGAGAGGGUGAUCGGCCACACUGGAACUGAGACACGGUCCAGACUCCUACGGGAGGCAGCAGUAGGGAAUCUUCCGCAAUGGGCGAAAGCCUGACGGAGCAACGCCGCGUGAGUGAUGAAGGUCUUCGGAUCGUAAAACUCUGUUAUUAGGGAAGAACAAAUGUGUAAGUAACUAUGCACGUCUUGACGGUACCUAAUCAGAAAGCCACGGCUAACUACGUG